AUACGGAGGGUGCAAGCGUUAAUCGGAAUUACUGGGCGUAAAGCGCUCGUAGGCGGCUUGUUAAGUCGGAUGUGAAAGCCCCGGGCUCAACCUGGGAACUGCAUUCGAUACUGGCAGGCUAGAGUAUAGUAGAGGCAAGUGGAAUUCCGGGUGUAGCAGUGAAAUGCGUAGAUAUCCGGAGGAACAUCAGUGGCGAAGGCGACUUGCUGGACUAAUACUGACGCUGAGGAGCGAAAGCGUGGGGAGCAAACGGGAUUAGAAACCCCGGUAGUCC
rnacentral:rRNA from 1 species